rnacentral:lncRNA from 1 species
AGCAACAGAAAAACAUGCAGAUUAGACGAACAGCACGUAACAGUCAUUAUAAUCGCGGAGGUGCAUCCGGUUUAUAACACGGUGACGUCACGUGUAUGUAUAGCUCUAUAAAACCUUGUUUCGCUCCUGUGACAAUGAUUGCGUGUGGAUAGGGGCCAUUAUAUAGAGGACCGUCAUUGGUCAGCUUGCGUAGUGAUACAUCUAGCCCUGCUCCAAGGCUGUACUGAAAGAUAUGUCUAUGGAUGUUUAGUGAUCCUUUCCUCCUAAUAGGCAAGUCUAGAUAUGAGGACAGUACGGACUCGUCACUCCAGUCUCUUACAGGACAACUUGUGUGAUUUAAACUAAUAAUUAUUGCCUUUGAGACUUGUGCAAGUCUAUGGCACAGCUGGAGUGGUUACAUUGUCAAACGGUAAGUACUCGCGUCAGGUUGCACUACAUGGUGUCAUUACAUAUCCUUCAUGCCUAGAAAAUGGCGACUAGACAGAAACGGUUCGAGGACAAGUUUGGAUUAGGUGAAGCUGGUGAUACGGAAGCUAAAUUUGACAAACGGACUCUUGCCAUUGCAUGGGACGUCGUGAACGGCAAGUACGACAUCUACAACCACCCACAGCUACAACAAGAGGGUGAUAUAGACUGGCUGUUUUUCAUCGUCGUCAAAGACAAACAAUCAGCGUUGUGGGCCAUUAGGGACAGCGAGUUGAGUCGAGUUCAAGAUAUAGUCGCGAACGGGGAUGUGUGGCCAUGCGAUCUCGAAUCUUCCCUGGAAGAAAACUGCUUGAUCCGAAGAUAUCACGUUGUCUACAGCCAAGACUCCGACUCCUACUUUGUCAGAUCCGACAACCUUACUCUGACGUCACCGAAGUAUGACGUAUGCUUGUAUGUUGGAACGCUGACGAUCUCGGAGCGAGCUUUGGAUGUUUUGAUGGCGUCUCUGGCUGACAAAACCUAUCUUCUAUUGGUGUCAGAUUGUUUGGAAUACUGUAAAACGUUUGUGUACAAAUAUUUUGAAAUGACUAGCAAUACUAUGGACAAAGAACAAAAAGAAUUGCUUGAGAAAUUGACAGUAAUGACAAUAUUUAUGUCUCAGCUCAGCGAGAGAAGCGGACGAAAAUACUAUUUGUCUGGAACAGUAAUCCGUAGUUUUAUUAUGUCAUCCCCUGGUCAGGUUGUCCUUGCUUCCGCCUUGUCAAGUCUCGUGAUGGUGUUUUUGAUGAGGCGCUUCAUGGAGUAGGCCUACUCCAGUUUAUAUUUCAAACUUUUACACCAUGUACGGUACCUGUUCAGUGACAGUACCAGGGAACAAUAUUGAAAUCAGUAUUCUUUUGGAAUCCAUGGAAAAAGUAAUAUUUUUGUUGACAAAAAAAUUAAAAAGAAAAUGUACCGGGCUCAUCUGUCUGGACCCUCAAUGAUUCCAGGAAAACUUGACUCGUCAACUGGUGGUGUUUUCAAGAGGCCGGAAUCUAUUAAUAGUUUUGGGAUUUCCAAUAAAAAGGAUGUGUGUCGAUGUAUUUUAAUGUGCACAUUAUUAAAGGAAGACUUUAUAACAGUAACCUCCCGUGUUCCAUAUUUGAAAGGCGUGUAACAAGUAUUCCUAAGAGACAAGUAGUUUUUUACAAUAAGAUCCGUGAUCCUAGCGCCAGUCACCGAAAGAAGGAGUUGCUCCCCCGGGUCUGAGUCAAGAUAACAACACACGAUAUCAGUUGACACACCUACAGGCUCCGAGUGUAAAUUUACUUGUGUCGAUUAAUUUCUCGGGAAGAAUUUUCACGGAAACAGCCGACAAAAACCGACUGUGUUUACCAAUUUGACAUGGCGGGAAAACAAAACCUUCGCAAGAAACAGCUUGAGGAGAAGCUUGGGUUACGACAAGGUGACCAAAUCCAUAGCAACUUUGACCGUAGUAUUAUGAAGAUAACUUGGGACAUCCUGCAAGGUCGGCAUAGUGUAUUUGACCACCCGGACCUAGAGGAUGAACCUGAUGCAGAAUGGGUAUACUUUCUGGUCGUCCACAACACCCACGCUGCAGUUUGGGCCGUCACGGACCGAUAUUUGAAAAAUGUUGAAGGCCUGGUCUCUAAACGUUAUGUCACAAAUGUAGAUAUAAAAGAAUACAUACAACCAAGCUGCAGUAUUAGGAGAUACCACGUGGUUUACGACGCCCAAUCAGAUCGCUUCUAUGUUCAGGUUGACAGCCUCGUUCUGAGCUCCCCGGUCUAUGACUCAUGCUUAUAUAUUGGCACGCUGACGAUUCCAAGGCUUUCGCUUGACGUCAUCAUGGCGACAUUGGCAGAAAAAACGUAUCUUCUGUUAGCGUCUGACUGUCUUGAAUAUUGCAAGCAGUUUGUUAGACUUUACUUUGAGCUCAUUGAGGAGGAGAUGACGAGCGAACAGAGGGAUGUGAUCGACGCGUUGACGGUGACAACGAGCUACGUGUCCCAAGCUAGUGAACGAAGCGGACGGCGAAACAGGUCUUCGGGGUUUUCCCUGAGGAGCGUAUUGACAUCGACUUUCUUUCACACAUUCGUUGCAGUCUCCGCUUCAAAUGUUUUACUGUUAUUUCUUUGGAGAUUUUUGAAAAAGUGAAGACACCAUUGAAGGUUCCAUCAUUUUUUAUUCAUAGUUGAACCGCUUACAUUCUGUGGUGGAUUUGCCCCUAAUACCUUUCUUGUUGAUUUACGGAUUUUUCAAGCCAGUGGUCGAAAAAAACCACUUUCAAUUUUGUUUGUCUUUUGUUUAAACAUACAGUCGGUAGGUAUUAAAAAAGUAUGGAUAAUAAUUCAGGGUCAUAGGCCAAGAUCCUAAACAAUUAUUAACAAAAUGCUGUCGUGGUGAGUUAAAUAUCUUGUGCCGGGACAUGCAUAAAAACAGUUUGUGAUAUUUUUUAUUGCUAAAUGGGGUUUUCAGACCCGGCAGUUAAAAAAGAAAACUCUAAAAUGAGAAUUUUAAUUUAAUUUUCUUAUUUUUACGGUCGGCGGGUCCGUAAACCGAUUAAUAAAAAAACAUUCGUAACGAAAGUGUUGACAGUGAGCACAGAUUUGUCGGAAUUAUACAACAAAAGUAAAAAAAGAUGAGUAACGGGUGAAGUAUUUGUAUCUGAUGUCUACACGACAUCCCGUGUUACUGUUAUAGUGAAGAAAUACAUAUUUUCUGAUUUAUACUAGAAUCUAUUUGCACUUCAGUAUUUCUAAGACAUUUGUGUUAUAGAAGUCAACAAGUCGUUUAUUUUAAAUUUAUUGUCUGUUUAGUCACCUUAACAGUAAAUUACUUCCUUCUGUAAUACCAUCUUCCCAAGGCGACCGCCUCCGUGGUCUAGUGGUGGAGAGUCCACCCAGAGAGCGGAAGGUCGGGGAUUCAAACACCGGCAGUGUCAUGAUACAAGACGUUAAAAUAUGGUACUUGUUGUUACCCUGCCUGGUGCUGGGCAUUAAGGGGCUAAAACAAGCUCGGAGUCAGUAUACUGUGUCUGAGAGGGGUCUUCAUGUUAAACUGCAGCAUGGUAUCUCAGUGGGCUGGCACUAUAAAAUCGGCAUUAGUCAGGACUAGCGAGUGAGUGAGUACUUCCAGUAAGAUCUGCUUCCAAGGUAUGAAUCCGUGACAGUAUUCUCGAGCCAUGUGUUUUUGAGUGAGUGAGUGAGUGAGUAUGGUUUUACGCCGCUUUUAGCAAUAUCACGGCAGGGGACACCCGGGUCUUCGGCGUGAAGAGCGAACGCUUUAACCACUAGGCUACUCGACCGCCCAAGUCCGGACAUGUACAAGCCGCCACACACACACUUGCAGGCAUGUCGCUAUGUAAGUGCAAUAAUCUUGAACGCCACGUUAAACCCCACUUCGCCUCACCUCCCAGUACUAUAGUUUUUGUGGUUAUCAAUUACAGUACUGUAGCAACUGUUAUUAAUGCAAUUAAAAUACUGAACAUUUGCAUCA